rnacentral:tRNA from 2 species
ACCUAAAUAGCUUAUAUAGAGUUUAACACUGAAGAUGUUAUGGAAAUAGUUUUAUUUUUAGGUA